UGGGGUUGAAGGGUCAUCAUGAUUAACAAGAGACCAGCACCACUGAAAUGAAAUCUUUGAAUCACUGGGACUAUUGAUGAUGGUUAACUGGAGCUAAGAAACUAACAGAGAUUAUAAGAUCGGCAUCAUUGAGGUGAAAUCUUCUGGGGAGUUUCCUGAGUGUUAGCACACAGAAGCUGUGUUCCAGAGGUGGCCAGGGUUGUACCGCAAGCUGGCAGCCAAACUUGAUAUUAUAACAGUCACUCAGGUGGUAUUAAUUUUGAAGACAUGAAAGGGUCAUGAAGAACAGCUGAGGCUUGGCACUUUGAGAGGCCAGGAAAGACCAUUGGUUAAGGUGCAGCCUCGGCAGCAGUUGAAGACCCAGGACUGAAGGGGUCAUGAAAAGAAGUUGAGGUUUGCCACCAUGAAGAUGGAUGAGGAGAGACUAUUGUGAAAGUGUAUCUCAGCUACCGUGGGAGACUCCAGUGUUUUGAAAAAGCCAGUGUUGUAGGAUGACCUCCAAGAACAGCAGCAGCAGUGGAGCGGAGACAACCAGAGCCUAGAAGACAAGCUGCGUGUGUGUGCUGCCGAGGGAGGAACCAGAGAAAUGACCCAAGCUCCGUGGAGGAGUCCAGAAUAUUGAUCCCACAGUUGAGAGAUUGAAUUUUAAGAGUGAUUUUAGGGUUCAAAAGAGAAUUUGAAUUUUAAAAAGACUGAAUUUUAAAGUGUUUGAAUUUGUAAAGACUGUGGAUCUUUUUAAGUUUGUAAAACGUUUUGUGUUAUGAUACUGAUAUUGAUGUUGCCAUCUUGGCGAUGAACAAGUAAAAAAAGGGUUGUGACUUAA